GGAUAGACUUCCAGAGAGCCAGACAGCAGCACAAAGUCUCGGCCGGCUGCGGGGGCGUGCCCAAGCCAAGAGACGAACAGAGCACCAAUCUGUGCACCGAUCACCAGUGCAAGCGUGGCCGGUGCAUUCCAAACAAGAAGAGCAGCUCCUACAGAUGUAGAUGCAAACGCGGCUGGAGCGGCAAAUACUGCGACAGAGCGCCGCGUUGUCGCCGCGAGCAGAGCCGCGAUUAUAUCAGGGAGAACGGCUGCCGGUCACGGAGGCCCGUGCGCCAGGCGCGCUGCGCCGGCAGCUGCGGACGCGACUGCUGCCAGCCGCGCAGAGUUCGUAACCGGCGCGUCAGCUUCGUCUGCAACGACGGCACCCGCUACCGCAAGGUGAUCAAGGUGGCACGCAAGUGCCGCUGCCGACGCCGCAAGAAGUGCGGCGUAUAGAGCGCGUCACGUCUGUUAGACUGCGAACGGCACUGGUCGACCGGCCGAGGGGACCGGUGAGAGAACGUCAUGAGGAAGUAUCUCUGACUAUUGGGACAGUCAGACUAUGGCGACCUGACCUGACCUGGUAUUCAGGUCACGAGGCCUGACUGGAGCGGUGUUUCGACCUGAGGGUCGCCACCACGGCUUGGACUGGCUGUCCAUCGUCGGCCAUCUGACUCGACCUGACGGUGCGGUCACGACCUGGCCUGACCCGGAACAAGGUCGUGACUUGACGUGACCAGUCGGUCAGCCGUUCGGCGGCCACACAGCCGCGCCACAUGAUAUUAAUUCUCCUCUAUCUGUCUCCAGUUGUCUCCCGUUCUCCGUCAGUGUUGAGUGUGCGAGCGGCACGCGCCGCCAUCUUGUCGUGUGCCAAAUCCGGAGCAACUGAGGCCAUUGUUCAAAUGCGGCAUAUUUGUCGACGGCGCCUGUACGCCCUAGAGGCGUCCCACAGGCGCCCCCCGACCCGCGACCACGCGCCCCGAGCUAUUGUGUUUGCAAUUUUCAGCUUUAAGCUCGUUGCCGUAAUUAUUCGUCGAGAAAUGAUGACCCGUAUGACGCCGAUUCGGAAUUUCCCGUUUUAAAACCAGGGGCUGUUUCAGCGUUUUAUUACGAGUGUUCGUCAUUGCCGUCUUGUUUUUGGCGUAUUUUUUUCACGCAUGCAUAGGAGACUGCGGAGAAAAUGGUUAUUGUUUUCCUGAAACAUUAUCAGGCAGCUGGAUUUAUUCGGACCGCUCCGGAGAGUGGUCGCUCGGCCGCGCCUAUGGUCGUCAUGUUGAGAAAACAGGUUAUGUAUACGUCAGCCGUGUUUGGGCCGGGGGCAGGCAGCCGCCCCACCGGCGAAUCUUCGCCCUGUGCUACCCAGGCGCAGCUAUCGCUGGGGAGAGGAGGGGCGCUCCCCGGAGCGACCAGGGCAGAGGGGCGGGGGAUCCGCCAGCCCGCCGCGCGGUGCGCCAGUCUGUACAGAUGCGGCGAUACUGGCUAACCGUGUUUUUAUAUUUAAUGUUCCGGGCGGGCCUGCCGGGGCGCAUGUUUCGCCCGCCGGCCGCACCGCGGCGCCACAGUCGGUGUAGUCAACAACUUGUAUGUAUUUUAGCUGUAGCUGUAAUAAAAUACUCGUGUGAAUAUCUAGUGUGGACUCCGCGAUAGGGUUCACUUCUCAUGGAGACCAUAUGCAAAGUUGCAAUGAUAUACAGCUUUGUGUAUUCUAGCAGACAUCUUGUUAAAUAUACGCUCAGUGGAAGGCACGAUCUAGACACAGUGCAAUCAUCACAGUCGAGUUAGCGAGCGGGGAACGUUAUAAAAAUAAGCGCUGUUCAAAAUUAGUAACAGACAAGUCAAUGCGCUAGAAAAGGACAUUUCUCAUUUGGCACCGCCAUAAUGAGUAGCGAUGUGCUGAUUCCCAGGAUCAGGUACAGAACACUUACGAUCAAAUUGGCAAUGAUUGCAAUGUGAUGGAAGACGACAUAGGACCAUCGCCACGCCACCUACCAUCAAGCGACGAACAGCUACGAGAGCAGUUAACAAGCAUCAGGAGCUGAAAUAACUACACGUUAGAUAGACAGGCCGCUCU